rnacentral:rRNA from 1 species
GGGCAUCCAGCGGGGAAGAAAGAAUUUCGGUCAAGGAUGAGCUCGCGGCCUAUCAGCUAGUUGGUGAGGUAAUGGCUCACCAAGGCGACGACGGGUAGCCGGCCUGAGAGGGUGACCGGCCACACUGGAACUGAGACACGGUCCAGACUCCUACGGGAGGCAGCAGUGGGGAAUAUUGCACAAUGGGCGAAAGCCUGAUGCAGCAACGCCGCGUGAGGGAUGAAGGCCUUCGGGUUGU